UCCCUUCCUUGCUUUUUCUGAGGGAAAUAGCCAGAUUUUGACAUGCCAGCUUCCUCAGAAGAAGAAUAGUUGGUCUGUUGCCUGCACGUGUUGGAUGUUAAUGAUUGAUCUUGAAAAUAUUUCAAGUUUCAGUGUGGGCUCUCAUUCAUCCAUGCAAGAGGAGACCUGUGGCUCUGGGGAGGAAAUCUGUAGCUAAUUGGAGUUUCCACUUAGGAGGAGAUUCUGCAGCUCUUCCACCAUUCCUUUGCACUGGUCCCAGGAGGUCCCAGGUUCCUUCCGAGCUUAUGGCCAGGAUUUGGUUUCAGCAGCAAUCUGAGGGAAGUGGUUGGCUCUUUCCUGCCUGCGCCUGGCCCAC
rnacentral:lncRNA from 1 species